rnacentral:lncRNA from 1 species
GCAUGCUCAUCUACAGAAACGCCGCUUGGCCUUUGGACUACACCAUCUGUCGCUCGCUCUAACGAGCCGGCGUUGCCGCCAGGGGACGCUCGGGCCGCAGGAGGUCGCUGGGUCGUGAGCUGGCGCCGGGGACGCCGAGCGACUGCGGGGUUUCCCUCAGCGUCCUGCUAUCCGGCUGCCCGCCGCGCUCCUUGGUAGUGUCCGUGGGCGCGCAGGCCUUGAAGAACCUCCUCGUGGCGGGACCCCGAGCGCAGGAGAGGUGUCAAAGAGCUGGCGCGUCUCCAGAGCCCCGGGAGGAAGGCUGUAACGGCAGCCCCAUCGUAGACAGGGACAUUCGCAUCCCGAGCCCUGGAUCUCUGAAAACCAGCCCAGAAUUUGGAAGCUGGAAGGAACUUUAGAUCGUCCAUUCUGAGUGUCUCUCUUCGCUGGCGUUUUCCCACUGAGGUUAUGUAAACAUGAAGAGGAGCCUACAAGUGUCAAGGAAAAAACGACAGCUAACCACAGGGCAGGCCAUGGGCAAGAUAUCUCAGUGUUCUCCGCUCUCAUAGGUCAGAGUGAGACUCACCUAGGCUGGACUGCAAUGGUGCAAUCUCGGCUCACUGCAACCUCCGCCUCUCAUGUUCAAGCCAUUCUCCUGCCUCAGCUUUCCGAAUCGCUGGGAUUACAGGUCACGACCCCCAGGAGACCUGGAGGACUGAAUGCUGCUGCCCCCAAGGAGGAGGCUGCCGUCUUAUCCCAGGAGGGAGAGCAGGUGAAGUCCCCAGGGGAGGAAGCACCUAGCCCCAUUCCUGCUGAGCAGGAGGUGGCAGGUACCCCAGACUGGGAGGUAAGGACAGCCCGGGGCUUCGACUGAACGUCUCCAGCGUGGGUCCAACUGAGCAGCCAUGGAGCACUGCAGAGUGGGAGGCAGCAGGGCAGGGAGGCAGUGCUGGAGGCUGGCUCAACCCCAAGACCAGCAGGCCAAGCUGCCAUCCCAGGGGAGCGAGGACGUCUGUGCAGAGCUGAGAGGCAGCAGCCAUGUGUGAACAGACUGGGCCUCAUCCUGGCCCCACCGACUUUGUGUGGACAGAGCCUGUUUCCCUGUCUGUGCAACACAGAACCUGCCUGAUCUCACUGCUGGAUCCCUCUUCUUCCUGCCAGGAAAAUAAAAAGGUUCAAAAGGAAGUUGCUGCGUAUCCAUCUGAGGCCUCUGAGGACAGCAAAGAGCAAAGGCCCUGGGACCGGGUCUACGUGCCCAUGACAGAGCUCUGGCUGGACUGGUUCUGAGCCUCUAACACCCCCAAGACUCAGAACCGUGAAGAAAAUCUUUCCAAUAAAUCCAAGAGUUGCUGCUGCUAUAGGCCAGGCUGCCACCUUUCGGGGCCUCCGUCUUCAGACAAACCCAGCCUGGCUUCAUCCACACUCCCUGUCCCCACAGCUGCAGGAACAGCACUUCCUGCCACCGAGCCGUGUGACCACAGUGGAUUGUCUCUGGAGGGGCCCAAGGGGGCCCUGGCCACCCUUCUGACUGACUCGGUGCCAGGGGACAGACCAACGUCCCUCUCGUGCUGACAGCCGGGCCGCACCCUGGCAUGAGGGCAUUUACAGAAAUGCUGGCGGAACUGCUGCCAGGGAGGCUGUAGGGUCCUCUGGCAAAAGAGGCCUCAGGUGGCUCCUCAAAAAAAAAAAAAAAAAAAAA